rnacentral:tRNA from 1 species
GGCCAGGUAGCUCAGUCGGUAGAGCAGGGGACUGAAAAUCCCCGUGUCGCCAGUUCGAUCCUGUCCCUGGCCACCA